GCCCUCAUAGUUCAACGGAUAGAACGAAGGAUUCCGGAUCCUUUGAUGCAGGUUCGAUUCCUGCUGAGGGCACCA
rnacentral:tRNA from 1 species